rnacentral:rRNA from 1 species
AUUUAUUGGGUUUAAAGGGUCCGUAGGCGGAUCUGUAAGUCAGUGGUGAAAUCUCAUAGCUUAACUAUGAAACUGCCAUUGAUACUGCAGGUCUUGAGUAAAUUUGAAGUGGCUGGAAUAAGUAGUGUAGCGGUGAAAUGCAUAGAUAUUACUUAGAACACCAAUUGCGAAGGCAGGUCACUAAGAUUUAACUGACGCUGAUGGACGAAAGCGUGGGGAGCGAUCAGGAUUAGAAACCCUAGUAGUCC